CAAGCUGCUUCUCAGCAACAAAUGGGAGGGGAGCAAGGGCAGGAAGAAAACUUGCUUCAGUUUUCCAGCUAAAUUCCACUCCCUUCAUGAAAUUUUUUCAGACUAUUCCUGCCAGUGGGUCCUUGGGUCACAUCCCUCCCCCGCUUUCCAGCUUCUCUGACCUUCUAGAACAUUGCUGGUCUCCACCAGCCAUUCACGUAAGGCCUUGUUUGUUUCAUCACUGAUUGACAUGUGAAUGCUGCCUUUUCUCCUUGACCAGAUCGUGCAUUUCUCGAGGGCCGGUACCAUAUUUUAAGAUAUUUUCAUAUCUUCCUCCAGAAUCCAGGCUGCCAGGAUAAUCCUUGAGCUUCCUCCCCUAAGAUCUUCCAGUCCUGGCCAGCCCAGCCUAGCCCUUCCCAGGAUGAGAGACCACAUCUUGGGGCUGCCAGGAAGUGUUGAAAGACACAGCUACUACCCAGAGAGCUAACAUAGGCCUGGAUUCUAGAGCCAGCGUGCUCCUCUCCACUCCUUCUGCAAGACCACAUCUCCCAGGCAAGAGACUCUAAAGUUCUGCCUCCUCAAAAUGCUCUCCAGCUCAGCAAGUCCUCAAUCUGCCAUCUGAGUCCCAUCCCAGGAGAGGAGGGGGCAGUAAAAGGGUGCUGUCUCACUGCUCUGUGCCUCCAUUUCUAUGUCUGUCCAGUAGAAAUCAUCACAACUACCUCUCAUGUCCCACAGAAUCCCUUUGAGGAUAAAAUUAGAAUUGACCACCUGAUUGCCCAACAUCCAAGGUUAUUCUGAGCAAUAGCCUCUCAAAGAGAAGUUCAGGGAAGAGCUAAUUUGGGGUGAGAGACACUGAUACACCAGAAUAUGCAUCACACACUGGAUGUGCCAAGUUUCUAAGCGAGUCUGGUUCCCCAUGUUACUAAGCACGCCUCAGAACUAAUGGCCCUCA